CGCACCUUUAAAGACAUCCUGAUGCCUCACCUACUGACAGGACUGAAUUCUAUUCUGGAUGGAUGACAGUUCCCUGGAGAUUCGCUCAGAGCCAUAGUCACGGUCCUACCGACGGCGGGGAAAGACCCGGCAUGCUGUGCGAGCUUAAACUAUUCACGAAGGUCAUGGCCCACCACGUCUCCAGGGUGCUGCCCGAACUGGUCCAUCCGCAUCAGGUGGGCUUUGUGCCCGGCAGAG